ensembl:snoRNA
AUCCUUUUGUAGGUCAUAAGUGCGAUGAUUGGGAUGUUGUGCUCAAGCGUGAGAUGUGCCUCCCUCAAACCUUGUUACAAUGUUGGCACAUUACCUGUCUGACA